rnacentral:rRNA from 1 species
UACGAAGGGGGCUAGCGUUGUUCGGAAUCACUGGGCGUAAAGCGCACGUAGGCGGGCCGUUAAGUCGGGGGUGAAAGCCUGGAGCUCAACUCCAGAACUGCCUUCGAUACUGGCGGCCUUGAGUGUGGUAGAGGUUGGUGGAACUCCGAGUGUAGAGGUGAAAUUCGUAGAUAUUCGGAAGAACACCAGUGGCGAAGGCGGCCAACUGGACCAUUACUGACGCUGAGGUGCGAAAGCGUGGGGAGCAAACAGG